UCGACUUGCGCAAAGUCGGGAAAGCGUGGGAGGAGGUGUGCAGGGGCCGCGGCUUCGUCCGAGCGUCGGAUCGGAAGGGAGAGUGCUAGCAGAGAGAGGGAGAAAGAGGAAAAGAAAGAGAGAGAAAGAGGAAAAGAGAAAGGGAGAGUGCCUGCAAGAAAAGAAAGAGAGAGGACAAAGAGUGUGUGUGUUUGCUAGAGAGAGAGCGUAGAGUGUGGAGGAGAAAGAGAGUAACAGCAUCUCCGUUAGCUUCUCUCAUCAAUAUUGCAUGGAUAUCGAGGCAGGAUGUAAUCCAACGGUAAUAAAAUCCCAAGCACCGGAUAUAGUUUAUUGUGUUCCAAUAAACCACAAGUCGCCACGUGGCGCAUUUUCAUGAAAAGUUCUAAUAUGACUUGAUAAUAGUAUAAUUUAUUGUGUUUCAAUAUUAUAUAUACUAGUGAAGGGUCCGCGCUUCGCAGUGGAUAGUUAAUUAAAAUAUAUAAUUAUUAAAAUUUUAAAAUUAAAAAAUUAUAACUAAAUAAAACAUUAUCAAAUUGUAUUAUGUACAUUACAAAAAAUAAUAUUUUGAUUAAUAUUUUCUUAAUUUU
rnacentral:lncRNA from 1 species